GAUGAAGAACGCAGCGAAAUGCGAUAAGUAGUGUGAAUUGCAGAAUUCAGUGAAUCAUCGAAUCUUUGAACGCACAUUGCGCCCCUUGGUAUUCCAUGGGGCAUGCCUGUUCGAGCGUCAUUUCAACCCUCAAGCCCUGCUUGGUGUUGGGGUCCCACGGCCGCCGUGGGCCCUGAAAGGAAGUGGCGGGCUCGCUACAACUCCGAGCGUAGUAAUUCAUUAUCUCGCUUAGGGCGUUGGGCGGCGCUCCUGCCGUUAAAGAACCAUCUUUAACUCAAGGUUGACCUCGGAUCAGGUAGGAAUACCCGCUGAACUUAAGCAUAUCAAUAAGCGGAGGA
rnacentral:misc_RNA from 1 species